CAAUAGCGUAUAUUAAAGUUGUUGCAGUUAAAAAGCUCGUAGUUGGAUUUCUGGUGGGAGCGAUCGGUCUGGCGCUUAGCGCGAGUACUUGCAUCGUCUCCGGCCAUCCUUGGGGAGAGUCUGUCUGGCAUUAAGUUGUCGGGCAGAGGAUCCUCAUCGUUUACUGUGAAAAAAUUAGAGUGUUCAAAGCAGGCUUAUGCCGUUGAAUAUAUUAGCAUGGAAUAAUAAGAUAGGACUUUGGUACUAUUUUGUUGGUUUGCGCACCAAAGUAAUGAUUAAUAGGGACAGUUGGGGGUAUUCGUAUUCCGUUGUCAGAGGUGAAAUUCUUGGAUUUAUGGAAGACGAACUACUGCGAAAGCAUUUACCAAGGAUGUUUUCAUUAA
rnacentral:rRNA from 1 species